GGAUGGGGGAAUCCCAGCGAGGUCACCAUCUCGUAAUUCUCCUGCAUGACGUCCCUGUAGAGGGCUCUCUGACAGGGGUCCAGCAGAGCUCCCUGCCCC